AGUCAACAUGCCCAGAGGACGUGGAUAACCUCGGGAAACUGAGGAUAAACCGCGAUAGGUCAUUACUACUGGAAUGUGUUAUGGCCCAAAUCUACAUGGCCUCUGGAUUGGACUGCGGCCGAUCAGGCUGUUGGUGAGGUAAUGGCCCACCAAACCUGUUACCGGUACGGGCACUGAGAGGAGGAGCCCGGAGAUGGGCACUGAGACAAGGGCCCAGGCCCUAUGGGGCGCAGCAGGCGCGAAACCUCUGCAAUAGGCGAAAGCUUGACAGGGUUACUCUGAGUGAUUCCCGCUAAGGGAAUCUUUUGGCAUCUCUAAAAAUGGUGCAGAAUAAGGGGUGGGCAAGUCUGGUGUCAGCCGCCGCGGUAAUACCAGCACCCCGAGUGGUCGGGACGAUUAUUGGGCCUAAAGCAUCCGUAGCCGGUCUUGCAAGUCCUCCGUUAAAUCCAGCUGCUUAACAGAUGGGCUGCGGAGGAUACUACAAGGCUAGGAGGCGGGAGAGGCAAGCGGUACUCAGUGGGUAGGGGUAAAAUCCUCUGAUCCAUUGAAGACCACCAGUGGCGAAGGCGGCUUGCCAGAACGCGCUCGACGGUGAGGGAUGAAAGCUGGGGGAGCAAACCGGAUUAGAUACCCGGGUAGUCCCAGCUGUAAACGAUGCAGACUCGGUGAUGGGCCGGCUUUAUGCCAGCUCAGUGCCGCAGGGAAGCCGUUAAGUCUGCCGCCUGGGGAGUACGGUCGCAAGACUGAAACUUAA
rnacentral:rRNA from 1 species